AUUGAACGCUGGCGGCAGGCCUAACACAUGCAAGUCGAACGAGUGGCGGACGGGUGAGUAAUGUCUGGGAAACUGCCUGAUGGAGGGGGAUAACUACUGGAAACGGUAGCUAAUACCGCAUACCAUCAGAUGUGCCCAGAUGGGAUUAGCUGGUUGGGGGGGAAACAGCUCACCAAGGCUACGAUCCCUAGCUGGUCUGAGAGGAUGACCACCCACACGGGAACUGAGACACGGACCAGAUGCCUACGGGAGGCAGCAUGGGGGAAUAUUGUAGAAUGGGCGCAAGCCUGAUGCAGCCAUGCCGCGUGUAUGAAGAAGGCCUUCGGGUUGUAAAGUACUUUCAGCGGGGAGGCGUUACCCGCAGAAGAAGCACCGGCUAACUCCGUGCCAGCAGCCGCGGUAAUUC
rnacentral:rRNA from 1 species